rnacentral:rRNA from 1 species
GACGAACGCUGGCGGCGUGCUUAACACAUGCAAGUCGAACGGAAAGGCCCUGCUUUUGUGGGGUGCUCGAGUGGCGAACGGGUGAGUAACACGUGAGUAACCUGCCCUUGACUUUGGGAUAACUUCAGGAAACUGGGGCUAAUACCGGAUAGGAGCUCCUGCUGCAUGGUGGGGGUUGGAAAGUUUCGGCGGUUGGGGAUGGACUCGCGGCUUAUCAGCUUGUUGGUGGGGUAGUGGCUUAUCAAGGGUUUGACGGGUAGCCGGCCUGAGAGGGUGACCGGCCACAUUGGGACUGAGAUACGGCGCAGACGCCUACGGGAGGCAGCAGUGGGGAAUAUUGCACAAUGGGCGGAAGCCUGAUGCAGCAACGCCGCGUGCGGGAUGACGGCCUUCGGGUUGUAAACCGCUUUCGCCUGUGACGAAGCGUGAGUGACGGUAAUGGGUAAAGAAGCACCGGCUAACUACGUG